GCUGAAUUGCUUUUCUCUGUUAUCUGCUUCUUUGGGAUUAUGACCACCAGCUCCAUCCAUGUUCCUGCAAAAUGACAUGAUCUCACUUUUUUAAUAGCUGCAUAGUAUUCCAUGGUUAUCUUGACGAAUCAGAUUACAACCCAUCUGAGUGGAGCCCUGGCUUCUCAGGCAGACCUGGUGUCUCCAGCUGAUGAUUUGUCCCUGUCUGAAGGCACUUCUGGAUCCAGCUGUGUGAUAGCCGCACUAGGAAAUACCUGGAGUCACAGUGUGAAUACCCGGCUGAUCCUCCAGUACCUUGAUUCAGAGAGAAGACAGAUUCUUAUUGCCAAGUCCCCUCUGGCUCCCUUCACCUCAUUUGUCUACACCAUCAAGGAGGAAGGCCUGGUUCUUCAAGCCUAUGGAAAUUCCUAGAGACAGGUAAAUGUGCAAACCUGUUCAUCUUGCCAAGAAAAAUCCGCUUUUCUGCCACAGAAACAAAAUAUUGGGAAAGAGUCUUGUGGUGAAACACCCAUCGUUCUCUGCUAAAAC
rnacentral:sRNA from 1 species